UUGACGGGGCCGCACAAGCGGAGGAACAUGUGGUUAAUCGAUGAUACGCGAGGAACCUUACCUGGGCUUAAAUGUAGAGUGCAUUUUUAGAGAUAGAAAUUCCCUUCGGGGCUUUCUGCAAGGUGCUGCAUGGUUGUCGUCAGCUCGUGCCGUGAGGUGUCGGGUUAAGUCCCAUAACGAGCGCAACCCUUAUCGUUAGUUGCCAGCUGGUAAAGCAGGGGACUCUAGCGAAACUGCCACCGUAAGGUGAGAGGAAGGUGGGAUGACGUCAAAUCAGCACGGCCCUUAUGUCCAGGGCUACACACGUGUUACAAUGGCCGGCACAGAGGGCAGCUACCUGGUGACAGGAUGCUAAUCUCGAAAACCGGUCUCAGUUCGGAUCGAAGUCUGCAACUCGACUUCGUGAAGCUGGAUUCGCUAGUAAUCGCGCAUCAGCCAUGGCGCGGUGAAUACGUUCCCGGGCCUU
rnacentral:rRNA from 1 species